AUAAAAUGUCACUUUUUUCACCUUAUCAUACUAUUUCAUCAACUUUUGCAUUUUAAUGUAAACAAUCAUAUUUCGUAAUAUUUUGGGUCAGAAACAUUUCAUAGUACUAUAUUAUGUCUAACUAUGUGAAAAAAAUCAAAUUGGAGUACGUCGUGCACUUGAUUAUAUGAGUUUGUUAGAAAAACCACUUUCCUUUGCUCCUAGCGCCUUCUCGUUCGCUGUAUAGCGUUUUGAGCGGAUAAAGAGCACAAGUGUGUUAGGGGACACAGGAUGAAUGGGAACUAAUUUUGUUAUUGUACUUUUGAUGAAAAGUGACUAUCUUGACAUGAAAUGUCACUUUUUUCACCUUAUCAUACUUUUUCAUCAACUUUUGCAUUUUAAUGUAAACAAUCAUAUUUCGUAAUAUUUUGGGUCAGAAACAUUUCAUAGUACUAUAUUAUGUCUAACUAUGAGAAAAAAAUCAAAUUGGAGUAGGUCGGGCAAUUGAUUAUA
ensembl:lncRNA